rnacentral:rRNA from 1 species
UACGGGGGGGUGCGAGCGUUGUCCGGAAUCACUGGGCGUAAAGGGCGCGUAGGUGGCGUCGUAAGUCUGUGGUGAAAGCCCGGAGCUCAACUCCGGGUCUGCCGCGGAUACUGCGAGGCUUGAGUGCUGUAGAGGGGGGUAGAAUGCCCGGGUGUAGCGGUGGAAUGCGUAGAGAUCCGGAAGAACACCGGUGGCGAAGGCGGCCUGCUGGGAUCUUGCUGACGCUGAGGCGCG